AUAAAGCCUUCUUUGGCAAUACUUGUUACUGAAGUGACUGGCUUUCUGUGAGAGCAAGCAGCAGGACCUAGUCCAAACCCCUGGCAUUUUUGUAACUGUUACGUGCAUCCGUUUGAAGAGACCAGCAAACAGGCUUUGUGUGAGCAAUAAAGCUUUUAAUUACCUGGGUGCAAGUGUCCUGAGUCCGAAAAAGGAGUCAGCAAAGGGAGAUAGGGGUGGUGCAGUGUUAUAGGAUUUGGAGGUGGGCUUUGAUCUCUCUCUCUCUGUGGUCCACUGCCUCUGGCCUCAGCCGCAUUCCUGAUUGCCUAGGAAGAACAACCUUUGACAUUUGACAUCUGCAUCUGAAUGGGGUGAGAGGCCUGGAGUCUGAGAAGCUGAGGUCUGUGAUGUGGGCACUGCACAUCCACAUAACUGACUACCAAUAAAAACUCUGAACAUCAAAGUUCAGAUGAGCUUCCUGGUGGCAAGACUCUACAUGUGUUUUCACACAGUGUUGCUGGGAGAGUUGUGUCCCUGUGUGACUCCAUUGGGAGGUGACAUCUAAAAUCUUAUACCCAGCUUCUGGACUUCACCCCAUUCAUCUUUGUUUGCUGAUUUAAAUCUGUGUCCUUUCAUGGUAACUAACCAUAACCAUGCAUCUAACGGUUUUUUAUUGAGUGUCUUGCGAACCCUUCUAGUGAGUCUUUGAAUCUGAGGGUAUUCUUGUGGACUCCUUACACAUUUAUGUAUGAACAUUCCCAAGGUUUGUCAAAAUGUCAAUUAUAGUGUAUUCCUAUAUAUAUUUCAAAAUGUGGUUGUGAAAAAUAUCGUCAUGGGAAAGCUGUGCUUCAAGUUAUUGCAUAUAGUCUAAUAACUUUGGUUUCCCAAACCAUAGCUGUAUAAAAUUUGCCAGAUAUGGAUGCAACCAAAAUUGACUAAUUUUUGAAUAGGAAGUUUACUUUCACUUUGCAGGGUAGGUUUAUCAGAGUUAGAAUGAAAGAGUUUGAGGGAAGGGUGGAGAUUUAUUUAGGAUUAGAGAACAACAGAUCACUGUCAUUACUUUUAUUUUGGAAAAUACUGUAUCUCCUUUUUUGACACUUUACAUAAAAAUAUAACAAUUUUUAUGUUAAAAAUAAAGUUUCAUCUAGUUUAUCAUACAUUUUUAAUCAAGGUGAUAUUGGACACUUUACAAUGCUAUUCGUAUGUUACACAGAGUAGCUAAAGAACAUUUUAAAAUGUUGGAUCACCCUUCAAUUACUGGUAUAAUCAUACUUGAUUAUAAUGUUAUGCUUUUUACGUCUGAUUAUUUGCUCACAAUAUAUUUGAGAUUUUUACAAGUAGAGUCAAAAUAAAAGUAAUCUUUCUUAUAAAUUUUUCCUGGAAAAAUUUACCUAAUGGAAUUUACUCAUACAUAUAUAUUUAUGUAUUUAGUAUUCAUUAAUUUCCAACUAUGUACUAUUAGAGUGGCUACAAUUGAGAAGAUGGACAAUAACAACAUUUGACAGGAAAAUGAAAAAAUUGAAAUUUUCAUGCAUUUCUGGUAUGAAUGUAAAAUGGUACAGGCAUUUUGGAAAACAGUUUGGUUGUCCCUUAAAAAGUUAAACAUGGGCUGGCAUGGUGACAUGUGUCUGCAGUCCUAGCUACUUGGGAGGCUGAGGCAGGAGGUUUAUUUGAGCACAGGAGUUUGAGGCUUCAGUGAGCUGUGAUCAUACCACUGUACUCCAGUUUGGGCAACAGAGAAAGACCCUGUCUCAAAAAGAAAAAAAGGUAAACAUGAAUUUACCAUAAACCCCAGAAAUUCCAAUCCUAGGUAUCAGCCUAGAAAAAUAAAAACAACAACAAAAAAACUUCCACACAAAGACAUGAUGUGAAUGUUCAUAGCAGCAACUUUCAUAAUGGCCAAAAAGUGGAAACAAUUCAAAUGUCCAUUUAGCUGGUAAAUGAAUCUAUGAACUGUUUUAUAUCAACACAAUAAAUACUAUUCAGCAAUAAAAAAGGGAAAAAACAUGAUUACAUAGUACAACAUUGAUAAACCUCAAAAACAUUACGCAAGUGAAAGAAGCCAAUCACAAAAGACCAUGUAUCAUAUGAUUUACAUUUAUUUGAAAUGACCAGAAAAGGCAAAUGUACAGAUACAGAAACCAGACUAGUUGUUGCCAUAUCUGGGAAAGGCAUAGCUUAAGUGUAAAAAGGUAUAAAGAAAUAUUUUGGAGUGAUGCAAAUGUUCUAGAGAUGGAUUGUUGUGAUUGUACAAUUCUAUAAAUGUAUUACCUAUUAUACAAUUGAUAGAUUUAUUUUUAUGUAAAUAAGACUUUAAUAAAUCUGUUUUAAAAAUUAGAUCAGAUUCAGCAGAAGUGGGGGAUAGUAAACUAAAGAUAGGAUAGUUAAAAUAUUUAAACUGAGGUUUAUGGGGGUAUGAACCAUACAAACUUGGGUAGACAAUGUAAUAUAGCCAGUGUAAUAUAUAUACAUAUGUGUAUAUAUUAUGGAGCAGAGGAUAACAUAACAUGUAUUAUUGAAGAGAGAAAGAGAAAGGAACAGAUGAGACACAGUGAAAGUUUCUACUAUGCAUGUAUAUGAAGUACAAGAGAGGAAAAAUAAUGAAACAAUAUUUAAAGAACUAUUUCCUUGGAAGGAAAUGGCAUAGGUAGAGAUAAAUAAUGUUAUUAAAACAAAAUUAACAAAUUCAAUAGCAGAGGCAGAAAAUAGAUUAAUUUAAAUGGAACAACAAUAUGAAUAACUAUUGAUCUUUCAAUGUAAAUUAUGAAAACAGAUGAUAUUUAAUGGCAUUUGUGAUAUGCCAAGAGAAAAUGUAUCCAUCUAGAAUACUAUAACCAGCUGAAAUAUCCUAGAAAAUGAAGGUGGCCAUUAUGAAUACUGGGCUAUAAACAUAUUUCUUUAUGUCUUGUUGAACUUUCUUGGAAAAUUUACAUCAGAAAGAAAAAUUUGUUUAGCUUUUCUAGACACUGUUAAACAAUAGAAGUUAGCUGUUAUAUCAGUUUACAGAAUCAGCAGCAAUAUGUGAAAAUUCUUGUUUUUUAAUAUCCUUACCAAUAUUUGGCAUUACUUUCUAUUUUCUGCCAUUCUGUAUAGUGUGUUGUGGUAUCUCAUUGGGUUUUAAUUUACAUUUUAUUAAUGACUAAUUAUUUUGAAGACUUUUUUACAUGUCUAUUGACCAUAUGGAAAUCUUAUUUUGUAAAUACUCAAUAUUUUUUUUCACAUUUUGAAAUUGACUUAGCUCAUUUUUUUUCUGAUUUCCAUGAGCUUAUUUGCAGCAAAUGCCAUUAAUAAUAAUGUUACUGACACCAUUCUUUGAGUUCCAAAUUAGAAACAACCCAAAUGUCCAUCAACAGUAUAAUAAAUAAAUAAAAUAGAAUAUCUUAUACAUGGAAUACUACAUGAAAAUGAAAACAAAUGAACUACCAGAACAUACAACAACAUGAAUGAAUUUCACAACCAUAUUUUAAAGUACAAAAAAUCAAUCACAAUGGAGUAUACAGCUUUCUGCAGUAGGCAAAAAAAAAAAAAUGUACCAUGAAGGCUUAGAAAACUGUUUACCUUUAUCAAGGAACAUUAAUAAAUGAAUGUAGAAAUGAGGGAGAUUUUGUUUCUGGAAGUAUUCUACUUGAUCUGGCUGAUUAUUACAUGGCUAUGUUUAUCUUAUACACAUUCAUCAAAGAAGUACAUUUAUGGUUUUGUCUUUUUUGUAUUUUUUAAGAGUUUACCCUAACAAAACAGAGAAUGACAAAACAUAUGGGGCUAUUUUAAUGCCUCAGCUUAACUUUCUGACUAAUAAUACAAUCCAAAUUUGACAAGGCAAAUAAUAGAGGACUAUUCAAUUGAUUCAGUCAAUAACAGAUUUAUUUUAUAAAUGGUUUACUGAUUACUCAUUAAAGUUUUCCACAAC
rnacentral:lncRNA from 10 species